UUUAAAAUUUCGAAAAAGUCAGAGACAAAUUUCAAGAGUUAACCAUUUGUGAUAACCGUCAUACUCCAUGCUGUAUAGCGGAUUUGAGGCCAGAGCCAGCAAUCAUAACCACAGAAUAUGCAAGUUUUUCUUGUGCAGGUGAUAACCUGUCAGCAACAAUCUCAGCAUCUUAUCGCUUGGAUAAAAAGCAUCCCGUUGCAUUGCCAAUCGAGUUACGGAUCUCUCUUUUUCCCUUUUCUUUAAAUGUCCUCGUGUACGCCUAUGUGAAUGUGGGUGUAUUCACAAGGACACCCUUUACCCUAUCCCGUCUGCUGUAAUUUAACUCUCCAGCGGAUGGAUGGAGCAACUGUAGGUGCCUGGUUGUAUUUCCCAGGC